AAGUCGUAACAAGGUUUCCGUAGAACAAGUCUUGCAGGAAUGAUUCCUUCCGUAGUGUACACUUGUAGAAGCCUUUGCAGCCACGCGAGUGGUAGAUCCGAGCGACUUUAAACAAUUCCAAGAUCGCUAUGCAAGUCGGCCCACGCAUGUGGUGCCGGCGACACUUUCGAAUUGACGGGGACGCCCUAAAGCCUGUCGCACCAACUUUGUGCGGGAAACCGCUAGAGGGCCCGUGCUAACUACACGGGAUGGUAACAGACGACAUGGAUAUUUUCACGCCUUUGUGGAUACUAUGGGCAAUCCGCAGCGAAGCCUCUAAGUCCGGCCGCCGGAUAUGAGGAACGUUCACAGACUAAGUGGAAGUGGGUGGAGCGUUUGCCGCUCUGCUUAAGAUAUAGUCGGUCCCUUUAGGAAACUAAGGGGGGUGAGUACACUGCUUGAAAUUUAAACACGAACGUGCGUGGUUAAGGUACGCUUUUCUCUCCCCCGGUCUCGGAGAGCGCUCAUGUUAAGAUUCCGAGACUGUCAAUUGCCUCGCGGUUUAACAGCUCUCAAAACGUUCCGUAGGUGAACCUGCGGAAGGAUCAUUACAGAAAGUAAACGCGGGUCAACCGCGAACUUUUAAACCUUUGACGAUUGACUCGUGUUGCCUUCGGCGGGCUCGCCCGCCAGAGGAUACAUCAAAAUCUUGUUUUAACGGUGUUGUCUGGCUACAGCACGAUCAAA
rnacentral:ncRNA from 1 species